UACGUAGGGUGCAAGCGUUGUCCGGAAUUAUUGGGCGUAAAGAGCUUGUAGGCGGUUUGUCGCGUCUGCUGUGAAAUUUCGGGGCUCAACCCCGAACUUGCAGUGGGUACGGGCAGACUAGAGUGUGGUAGGGGAGACUGGAAUUCCUGGUGUAGCGGUGAAAUGCGCAGAUAUCAGGAGGAACACCGAUGGCGAAGGCAGGUCUCUGGGCCAUAACUGACGCUGAGAAGCGAAAGCAUGGGGAGCGAACAGGAUUAGACUACCGGUG
rnacentral:rRNA from 1 species